UACGGAGGGUGCAAGCGUUAUCCGGAAUUAUUGGGCGUAAAGAGCUCGUAGGCGGCUUGUCGCGUCGUCCGUGAAAACCCACAGCUCAACUGUGGGCUUGCGGUCGAUACGGGCAGGCUAGAGUUCGGUAGGGGAGACUGGAAUUCCUGGUGUAGCGGUGAAAUGCGCAGAUAUCAGGAGGAACACCGGUGGCGAAGGCGGGUCUCUGGGCCGAUACUGACGCUGAGGAGCGAAAGCGUGGGGAGCGAACAGG
rnacentral:rRNA from 1 species